GACGAACGCUGGCGGCGUGCUUGACACAUGCAAGUCGAACGGAAAGGCCCUGCUUUUGUGGGGUGCUCGAGUGGCGAACGGGUGAGUAACACGUGAGUAACCUGCCCUUGACUUUGGGAUAACUUCAGGAAACUGGGGCUAAUACCGGAUAGGAGCUCCUGCUGCAUGGUGGGGGUUGGAAAGUUUCGGCGGUUGGGGAUGGACUCGCGGCUUAUCAGCUUGUUGGUGGGGUAGUGGCUUACCAAGGCUUUGACGGGUAGCCGGCCUGAGAGGGUGACCGGCCACAUUGGGACUGAGAUACGGCCCAGACUCCUACGGGAGGCAGCAGUGGGGAAUAUUGCACAAUGGGCGGAAGCCUGAUGCAGCAACGCCGCGUGUGGGAUGACGGCCUUCGGGUUGUAAACCGCUUUCGCCUGUGACGAAGCGUGAGUGACGGUAAUGGGUAAAGAAGCACCGGCUAACUACGUG
rnacentral:rRNA from 1 species